rnacentral:tRNA from 3 species
GUGAUUGUAGCUCAGUUGGUAGAGCCCCGGAUUGUGAUUCCGGUUGUCGUGGGUUCGAGCCCCAUCAUUCACCCCA